UGGAGAGGUCAGGGAAAAGUCAGGGAAUUUUAUUUUGGAAUUUGGAUCGACACCAUGUUAUGAGAUCAGAUCGAAUCAGCGCAUGCUUUACAUAAGAUUUUCCAAUGCUGUUCGACCAAUGCCAUGUUGUUGUUUUUUUAUAAGAACUGGCAACAAAGUUCAUAAGAUUUUCCUAUGGAUUUUAUAGCUUGGACAUUCGCUAUUUACAAAUGUCAGCAGUGUGAAAAUAGCUUAAGAUAAUUUUAUUUCACCCAAACUUUAAAAUGGCGUCGGAAGAGCAAACUUGUGGCAAGUUGUUUCCAAGUAGAGGACCCGUAACGACCUUGACUUCAAUUUCACAAUCGAAGCCGAUUCCGUAGGCUCGGUCCAGAUCAAUAGUGAAAACGAAGCGACGAGCCCAUCCCAGAGCGCCAUUUCACCGAUCGAGACGCCAGUUGGAGGCUCCGGCAAGGACGGCAUCUUGUGCCCCGGCCAAAACGGACUCGCAAAAUCUAACACCGAUCCGGUGGAAUAAAUCCCGAGCUUCAGCGAGAGUGACGCGACGAGCUCUUCCCGGAAAACAAUUCUGCCGAUCGAGACGCGAGGCUCUUGCACGUCCCGAAUCGCCGUUCUUUGACCGCCAAGGGCACAGAUCUCGUGGCCGCCGGCUAGAUCUGGUUCGGAAUCGGAGAAAUCCGGGAAAGUAAAUAACCCAAGUGAACCUGCCUUGGCGCGACUUUUCGGGGACCGGUGAUGAAAACGGAUCAGAGAGCAUCGUUCUGGAGAACUUUUGCCUUCACAGUUUUCCAAUCAAAUCUAGAUCUCAAUUUAAUAUGUAUGCCAGUAUAAAACAAUAAUAAUAAACAAUGAUAUCCAUAAUAACAUAA